CGAACGGGUGAGUAACGCGUGAGGAACCUGCCUCAAAGAGGGGGACAACAGUUGGAAACGGCUGCUAAUACCGCAUAAGCCCACGGCUCGGCAUCGAGCAGAGGGAAAAGGAGCAAUCCGCUUUGAGAUGGCCUCGCGUCCGAUUAGCUAGUUGGUGAGGUAAUGGCCCACCAAGGCAACGAUCGGUAGCCGGACUGAGAGGGUGACCGGCCACAUUGGGACUGAGACACGGCCCAA
rnacentral:rRNA from 1 species